CUUAAAGGAAGUUGACGGGGGCCCGCACAAGCAGUGGAGUAUGUGGUUUAAUUCGAAGCAACGCGAAGAACCUUACCAGGGCUUGACAUCCCUUGAAGCAGCUAGAGAUAGCUGUGUCCUUCGGGACAAGGAGACAGGUGGUGCGUGGUUGUCGUCAGCUCGUGUCGUGAGAUGUUGGGUUAAGUCCCGCAACGAGCGUAACCCCUGUGGUUAGUUGCCAGCAAGUAGCGUUGGGCACUCUAGCCAGACUGCCGGUGAUAAAUCGGAGGAAGGUGGGGACGACGUCAAAUCAUCAUGCCCUUUAUGUCCUGGGCUACACACGUACUACAAUGGCCGUUACAACGGGAAGCGAAGGAGCAAUCCGGAGCAAAUCCCUUAAAGGCGGUCCCAGUUCAGAUUGUGGGCUGAAACUCGCCCACAUGAAGGCGGAAUUGCUAGUAAUUGCAGAUCAGCAUGCUGCAGUGAAUACGUUCCCGGGCCUU
rnacentral:rRNA from 1 species